rnacentral:rRNA from 1 species
UACGUAGGGGGCAAGCGUUGUCCGGAUUUAUUGGGCGUAAAGAGCUCGUAGGCGGCUUGGCAAGUCGGGUGUGAAAACUCCAGGCUCAACCUGGAGAUGCCACUCGAGACUGCUAUGGCUAGAGUCCGGUAGGGGACCACGGAAUUCCGUGGUGUAGCGGUGAAAUGCGCAGAUAUCAGGAAGAACACCCGUGGCUAAGGCGGCUCUCUAGUACGGUACUGACGCUGAGGAGCGAAAGCGUGGGGAGCGAACAGG